rnacentral:misc_RNA from 1 species
CGCAUACCUUAUCUCUACCUUUAACAGGCAACAACAAACAAUAGCUGCAAUCAGAUUGGAAAUGAACUAAAGGUUGCAGCCUUAAUCAUUCAGUGCUAAGAAAAGAUUUUAACGUCACAUUUUUGGCCGUUAUCCUCUCUUGUUUCUUUGAUAAUCCUAGCUGAGUCGGCAACAUCUUCACUGCAUGAUUUUACCUCAAUGUAUCGCAAACAAUUUAGGUCCUGAAAACCAUCAGGGAUAGCUUUGAGAUGUAAGCAUCCAUGCAAAACCAAUUUCUCAAGGCGAUCGAAGGAUUCCUCAGACACUUCCCAUUUCGAGAGUUUGAGAUUUUCUAGUUCCAAGAGUUUGAGCUGAGAAAACUCCUGAUCUCGUACUUCCCAUUCACCCAUUUCAAAGGCAACUUGUCGCAGUUUAAGUACCUCAAGGUUGACAAGUUUGGCAAUGGUUGAAAUUUCCUCAGGUGGCAAAGGAAAUUUGCAUAAUGUCAGUUUCUUGAGAUUCUCUGGAAAGUUUAAUCUUGAAGGACCAACCUCCGAGAUACCAACAAAGACCACUUUUAGCGUUUCAAGUUGAGAUAAUGAGUCUAAUACAGGAAACCGAUUUUCAUUCUUUCCCCAACGCCCUAAAUCAGUAAAUACACAUCUUAACUUCCGAAGAUUGGGUGUUCUUCUUACCAUCCUUUCCAUAUUGUUCACCCUGGAAACAUAUAUUGAGGAAAAUGUUUCCAAAUUGUCCAGCUUUAAGAAAUUUCCACCACAGGAUUCCUGUGCACCACGCGAAGCAAACAACGCCCCAUCACUAAUGCUAACAUAUCUCAACUUACUCAGCUUCCAAAAAGUAUCUGGCAACCAUACUUGUCCUCCAUUUCUUUUGACUAUGAACGUUUGAAGAUUCCAAAGAUUUUCAAUAGAUGAUGGAAUAGAAUUCUUAGUAGUUUGAACAGCAAGGUACCUUAGCUGAUUAAGUUCAGUG